AUCCUUUGAUGAACGUGCACAUUUUAGCGUAGAAUGUUUAGUAUGAUUUCAUGUUUUUGCAGGGUUUUUGAGGAGAAUCUCGAGGCAUUUUGUUUCUUUCCACAGGACUAAUCCCUUCUUUAGGGCACAGCUCAUUUUCAAGAGGCGGUUGCGCUGCUGCUUUGCCCCCCACCCGUUCAGUGUGACAGCCUCAGAGCUGGUGGAGAGACAGAGAGCAUGCCACUGGAUAAAUUUGUAGACGUGGAAUUCCUGGACCAAAUGGUCACCAAUUGUUUAUGCAUCAUUUAUUGAGUAAUCCAACCUUCUUCCACUGAUCUGAAAUGGCAACAACUGUUCUCCUAUUAGAUAGGGUGUAGCUUCCUACAAGUCAGCCAUUUUCUCUUUACUCAAGAUGGUUACAUUCUGUAAUAGUACUCCUACCUUCUUGCAGCUUCUGACAGCAUACUAAAGAAUCACAUUUGUGCUUAUGCCUUUCAAAAAUUCUAGGCAUAUGCAGUUUAGGGUAGUGGUUUUGAAACAGAAUUCUUUUCAUUUUAAAUAUUUAAAAAUUGUCUUUUUGUCGCAUGCUUUUUAUAAAUUAAAAUUGAGGAAUCCAAAUAUACAAAGCCACUCUUCCAGGUGUGCUGUUCCUCUUGUACACACCUGACAUACAUCCAAAUUGUGUGUUUAAAAAACAUCCUUCCCCCGGGGAUAGUGCUAGUCCUAAGGUUGUUCCCUCAACCUCUUUUUCUACUCCUCAGGUAUUUGGAGAGUUAAAGUUUUGUGGACUCAGUUGGUGGUAUUUUCUAGAAUGGUAUAAGAGGGAAAUGUAGAAAUGUAUAAAGAGUAGAAAUAAUAUCUUCCAGCCUGUUGCUGGCAGUAGGCUGAUGUAGGGUCUUAAAAGAGCUAGGGUGAGUCCCAAUCCAUGCUGCCAUUGCCACCAUCUCUUCUAGAUAGGGACACACUCCAAUGGUCCACCUCUUUUCACUGCAGGUGGAAGGCUCAAGACAUAAAGCACCAAGUUUUUAAAUAGGAGAUGGGUUAAAUAUUGCCCACAGAAAGAUUUGACUGUUAAAAUCACCUGCUACCCACUACUCACAGUCUCCGGCACCAACAAAGCCUUCUUUCUCUAUUGACUUCUGACCCUGGCCUCUAGCUAUACUGAUUCUGGGGAUAAAAAGAUAUUAAGGGAGACUUGCCUGGAAACAGAUUUGUGGCCGCAAUGUACAAACUCACCCUCUCAUGCUCACACUGGCCAAAUAAUACAAACAUACCUUUAGCCCUACUGCACAAAGACUCACCCUACAAUACACAGACACACCCUAAGUCACACUGACAAGCACCACAGCAAAAAGACUUGGCCCAGAGUACACAGAGACACUCCCCAUACCACUAGAUUCUUCCAGAGGCAUAUAUGUUCUCCCCAACACAGACACUCACCUAAGGGACACUGACCUAACCCACAUGAUACAGACUCACCCCACAAUAAAGACUGUACUCAUGACACAGACAAUCCUGACAUUACACACUGUCCUCACAUGACACAGACUAUUCCCAGGACACACACUGCAUAUAGACUCACCCUACAGAACACAGAUUCUCCUAUAACCAUACAUUUUCUCCAGGCCAAAAAACUCACCCCACAUCACACAGACUCUCUCCUCCCAGCAUGCAGACUUUUCUCAUGCCUUACUGACUAAACCCAUAGCUGAGACUCUCGCUACAGAACACAGACUUCCCUCAUAUCACGUUGACCCUCACAAGAGCAGACAGCCUCGUUCUGUGGCACAAAGACUCUCUCCACUUCACACAUUCUCACCACAGAACAUAGAUUCUGCCUACAGCCCACAGACUUGCCCUAGAGCACAUGGAUUCUUGCCACAGAAUAGACUUUCUUUCUAGAACAGACUCAUGACACAGCCUGAAGAUCCACACAUGACACAAAGACUCUCUCACAACAGACAGACUCACCCAGUGGUACACAGACAAGCACCUCAGGCCACAGACCAUCCUGUCAGGACACAGACUCACCCUACACUACCAGACACUCCCCAGAUCAUGCAGACUCACUCCACAAAACGCAAACUAAACCCAUAAUACAGCUCUUCCUACAGCACUCAGACAAGCUUAUUCCCACAACACAGAGAUGCAGCAGCACAUCUUAUAGCACAUAUAUCAUGCCCUGAUGCUCAGGAUUGUGCCACAACACACAAACUUGUGCUGCAAUUCACCAAUUCAUUUUACAACAAACCCACUUACCAUACAAUACAAAUACUUGCCCCACAGUGCACUCAUUUGCCUGGAAACAUCUGGACCUUCCCCUAAACACACAGUUACCGCAGAAUGCAUAUUGUGGUCCUAUAUCACCAAAAUACACCCCAAAUUCCUCAGAUACACUCUGUGAUAGACAUGCCUCACAAUGCACAGCUUGGCAGCACAGCAUGAAAACUGGCCCUACAGCAGACAAACUAGUUCCACAACAGACGCAUUCAUGCUGCAGACACCUAAUCUUUCUCUUAAGUAUUCAAAGCUGCCCCUUAGGGUACAGUCCGAGAUGUGAUCUACAAUAUCCUCACUCAUUCCACAACACUGAUGCAGCCUACAACAUACAAACAUAUCCCACAGAAAAAUAUUCCACCCCCAUAGUGCUCAGAAUUGUGUCACAACACAUACUUGCAUACAGAUCCAUUUCACAAAACAGCAUUUCUUACAGUGGCUAUACAAUGCAAACACAUAUCCCCAAACACAUGAAACAGUUUGCUAUACCACUCUCAGGUUUAUCUCAAGGCAUAUAGACUGAUUUUACUGCUCAAGCUGCUGCCUGCAAAACAAGAUAUGCCCAAUCAGGCACAGAAAUCCACCAAAAUGCAUAGAUUUGCCCAUCGAUAUACAUACUUGCCUCACAACUCACAAAUACCACUGAGCACCAUGACCCACCCUAAAUAUAUGAACAAGCCCUUCAUGAAACAGACUUACCCAAUAACAUACUCAGUCACACUCACAACACUUAGACAUGCCUUACAAUUCACAGGCAUGCCUGUAAACACAUAGAUUCCUUCCAUAGUGCACAGAACUGCAUCACAACACAGACUGACUGUACAGUCCAAAAACCUAUUAUACACAUAAACAUUCCCCAGUAUGUCACACACAACACAAAUAUUACCCUUACAAAGCAAAGAUUUCCAUCUUUCCGUUAUAGUGGACAGACAUGAUUUACCAUACUAUUGAGCUACAACUCUGGCCUACAACAGAGAUUACAGCUUGUGUAAUGGUUACGAGCAAGGCCUAUGGACACAGACUACCUAGAUUUGAAUCAAGGUCUCCAAUCUCUUGCUAAGUGUAUCAUCUUGGGAGGAGCUAGAAGAUUGAGAGAGAGCAGAGUGGAAGUGGGGGAAGAGGGCUGCAUGUCCAGUGCACAUUUGCCACCUAGUGACCAAAUUCAGAGCUCUAUGGAAUGGGGGAAGAGAACAAAGAAUAAUAGGACCUUUCACAUGUGUGAGGACAAAGUGAAAAAGAGAAAAACAAGUGCAACAAGAAUAAGGGAAGCUGGAUGUACAGCUGUCCCAGAAGGUGCCAUGAUGGUGGUAUUUUUCUUCUCACCUCAGCCUGGGAACCUGACCUUGACUCCUGAGUUCCAUGAUCCCUUCACAACUGCAAGUCAUUCUCAUACAAAAUUUGAGUUUACCUAGUCUGCACCUUUGAGAGCUUUGGAACAAUAUGCAAGUUCAAGUCACCAUCAUGUUGUCUUGCUGAAUGUCUCAUGCGACAAGACCAACAUUUGGGUCACUUGCUUCUACGCUUGCUCUUCUGCCUGAUGUUCUCUGCAGCAAUUGAUUGUGCACAUGUGUUGUCAUACAAAGACUGUUUAGCCUUUUUUAAAAAUUUGUCUUGUGAAUUUUCUCAUUUGAUUCUUAAAUAUUACAAAUUAAUAUUGUGUACCUCUCAGUGAUAUAAAACUUUGAAUCAUUGUAAAUUUACAUGAGUUAAGGUAGACAUGGCCUCCAAGCAAAAGAACAAGAAGAUGGAUGAUAGAGAUGCAAGAAGAGUGAAAAUAUCAAGGAAGGUUGAUGUCAAUAGUGAACACAAUGAGAGUUCUUGAAAUUCUUUAUAAUGGUGAAAGCAAGACCUCUGUGGGGCAUACAUUUUUUUUUUUUGGUGUUAGUAAAUCAAUUGUUCAUACAAUAAAGAAAAAUGAGAAAGCCAUUAGGGCCAGUGCAUUGAGGGGCACACUAAAAUCAUUGAAAAAAAUUAUGCAUAACUCAAAAUGCCAAAAUAGGGAAAAUGAAGAGAUUUACAUUUGUGGCUUCUAAAAUAGAAAAUGCUGUAUAAGCCUCUUUCUAUAUGUACAAUCUAUCAGCAAGCAUCACAAAAAUGUUAGUUUAAUUUCAAUCUGGAUGAUAAGUUAUAACAUUCAUAGCAAGUAAUGGGUGGCUGGAUAGGUUUAAGAAAUGCUCUGGGCUGUAGUGAAAAGAAGUGGCUGGCAGAGGAAGCAGAUCAUGAAGCUGCUGUAGGGUAUACUGAAUAUCUGAAGAAACUAAUUGAGGAAAAUGGUUAUUUGCCUGAUUAGGUCUUCAAUGCUGAUGAAAAAUCUUGUUCUGGAAGAGAAUGAUUAUUUACACAUCCAUUGCAAAGGAUGAGAAAAGAACCAGAGGCUUCAAGUCCAGAAGUUCUGCUUUGUUUCAAUGCCUCUGGUCACUUUCUGAUUAAAUCCAUAUUGCUUCACAGAUUCCAAAAUCCUUGCCCUCUUAGAGAAUGCCAGGAACAUUUUUUUCUGUGUAUGUGAAGGGAAACCAUAAAAUCUGGCUCACCGAGAAACUCUUUUUGGACUGGAUUUUUAAGUGUUUUGUUCCUGAGUUUACAUAAUAUUUUUAAAAAAUGUUGAAUUCAAAGUGUUAGUGAUUGUGGACACUAAUCCCACUGACAAAAGUGCAAUAGUAAAGGCUGCUCCUUUUGUUCAAGUUAUCUCCAUUAUCCCCAAUACAACUCCACUUCUUCAACCCAUGCAUCUGGGGGCGCUAAAAACAUUCAUGGUGUUCUAUACCCAGUGUACAUUUUUACUACCUUGCAGAUCUUAUCAAAAGGACACCAGAACUUACUGUGAAAGUAGCUUGGCAAAAUUUCUCCAUUUGUAAUGCUUUAACAGUAGUAGAAGAAUCAGUGGGAGAAAUAAAAGAAUCAACACUUCACCAGUCCCAGCAGAAACUUCAGAAUGAGGUUGUAACUAAUUCUGAAAGUUUCCUUCCAGUGGUAGAAGAAAUUGAAAAUGUAACAUCUGCAAAGUUUUGGUGCUGAAGGGUUUGAAGACAUUCAGUUAAGUGACAUUGCUGAAUUGUUAGAUUCUCAUUGCCAGAAGAUAGUUGAAAAAUAUUUCAGAGAUGAGAUCACAUCAAAAGUUAAUAAAAGAGGCCAGCAUAGGUUAAUAUUCAGAACUCAAAGAAUGUUGUUGUAUCCAAUCCACAAAUCAAAUUGUCAUGAUGAUUCAGAAGAAAGACAUCCUUCAGUGGACUGUAUCUCGACCUUCAGGGGAGAAGAGGCUGGAACAUUGAGUCAUGUCAUUCAAACCCAUUCCACAAACAGGAAGCAGAAGCAUUGCACACAGAUAGUUGAACCUUGGGAUUUAGACUCUGACAGCUCUGAUGUGGUGAUCUAUGUGCUGGGGAAUGAAAAUGGAGCAGAAGACUGAGAUGACUUCUUUGCAGACAAAAUGAAAUUUUCUCUAUUUUUUCCUUGUCACUACUGUCAUGACCAAGCAUUUUCAUUGGUGCAUUAUCACCCUCAUCUUGAGAUCAGAGAGAAAGAGAAAUUAAUUGCGUGACAUUCACUAUUGCUGAUGGAAAGUUUAUAAAAUAUCAUUGAUAUCACUUUAUUGUUUUAUUUCAGUAAACAAACCAAUUGUCUGGGCUUUCACAAUACUUCCUUCUCUGCCCCAUUUUUUCCUAAAAGUUCUUAAAUUCCUCUAACACAGAUCCUAUGAGGGUUUCAGGAACUCAACUACAGGGCCUAGGGAGAAGGCUACUCAACUGGGUUGGAUAAUUUGAUUUUGUACUCUUAAUUCUAAAAUUUACUUUACUUCCGAUUAAGCCUAACUUCCUAUCUCACCAGAAAGGACAAGUUUGGUAUAAAUUAAUAAGUGAAUUUGUUUUGAAGCAAUUGUAUAUGAAAAAUCUUGCAUUUAUGAUGAAUUUCUGAAUUUCUUUUGGUACCUAAUCAAGGAGGGGAAGAGCUGGUAGAGUUAAUUUCUAUAGAUCCUCUGUGUUAUUUUUUUUAAUUUAUUUUUUCAACAUGCCAUCACUAGUUUAAAAGCUCCUCUCUGUUCUCAUAUUUGGCCUUCCCAGUGAUUGAACAGUUGAAUAUCCUCCAAAAAAGGGAUAUUGAUACUUUCUGUUCCCUGAAGGUGGUGAAGACUUCAUUCCUAAAUUGUUUUUUUAAUUCCCUCCAUAAUUCCAUAUGUUUACUUUAUUUGACUCAUUUGUGUUACAAAAGUUAUUGUUGUCAUGGUUUUAAUUUUGGAUGUUUGGAAUUUUCUAGGCAGAUUUAACAGAGGGGAAUAAAAAUCACCAAGCUGGAGAUGUGAAGCUGAUAUCUUGUUCUAAGAAUUCGUGGCAAAAACAUAUGAUGAACCUACCUUUUCUUUUGGCUACUUACACACAUUCCCACUUGAUGUCCAUUUUGAACUCAGUUGGACAGUUAUUCUGGCGCAUAGAGAGACAGGAUGUCUGAAUAACAUUGCUUUUGCUCCUGUUUUAACUACUAUUUGUGCCACAGUCACUGUAUUGGCACCAUAAUUACAUCUGAUAAUGAUGUCUGAAAAAUCUGAAUAGAGAAAAGAAGAAAGAUAAUUCGUUGGCAUGUACCUGCUAAAAAAAGACCUUAUAUAGCUUGAAAAGGCAUAAAGACAACCUGGAAUGAUGAAAUUUACAUACAGUAAUGAGAAAAAAAUGCUGCCUUUAAACAACAGUACCAAAAAAUGACACCAGAGCUUAGAUUGAAUUUGGUCCUAUAGGAAGCAGGAAAAAAGCCCACUUGAGUUGAAAUUUGGUGUAUCUGAGUUUGAAGUUAUCAGGAAAAAGGGGAAAAAUUAAAAGGCUAAAAGUGUUUGCUUGCAUGGUUACUGUUGAGGUGACAGAUGUUUUUCAACAAGCUUAAAUGAGGAAGAUGAUGAUUGAAAACCCAUCGUAGGGAGCUAUGGAUGUAGUGACUCACCACAGUGCCAGGCAAGUUUAUGUUUUCUCUCUAAGCCAUACUAGUUCUUAACGCUGACUAUACAUCAGAAUCAUGAGGUGGAGGUUUGAAAAAUAAAUAUUUCUGGGAACUGCUUGCAGACCUGAUGAAUCAGGCAUAGGGAUAUGUAUAUUUCAAAAGUUCCUCAAAGUGAUUCUUUAUAUAGCCAUGGUUGUGAACUGCUGCUCUUAAGGCUAAACAAAAUUAUGAUAGAAAAUAUAAUAUAAAUGGUAGUAAGCCCAGGAACUAUGAAGCCUUGAUUCAAAGUGUUUGUUCUGCCACUAGUUCAAUGGAUGGUUUUUAUCAAGUCACUCUCCUCUUUCCUUAUCUGCCAAAUGAGGGGAUAGGACCACUUGGUCGCUAAGGUCCUUCUAUCUCUGACAUUGUCACCUUGAGAGAAAGGUGCAUCAACCUCAUUAGUUGAUAUUGAGAAAAUCUAAGCCCUUUCAUGAGACCAAGGUAAGUAGUAAUAUUAUUGAAUUGUGCUCUUGUUAUUUAAAAAAUUUUUGCUUAUGGUUCGAGUUUGACCAUGUUUUAGUCCCUCCCAGAAAAGAAUGUUGGGCAGAGAUGCCAUAGAAAAAAUGCAAACAUAGCAUCAAUUUCCUGAAAGAAAAGAGAGAGAGAACACCACCAGGGAGUUUCUUUUUCUGUGAAAAUUGUUGUUUUUUUCCCCUGGGUUAUAGGGUUUGGGGAGAAUAUUGCAUAGAUAUUAUAUGUGAAAUGCUCUAAUAAUUUGUAUCUAUUGUUUCCAUAAAUCAAAGCAGAGAACUCUGUAUAGUCAAUGCUUUAAGUUUCCAUGGAUAAUUUGCUUAUUCUUAAUGAUGUUUAGAGGUAAAUAUUUUUAAGUUAGUGAUCUUUUUACCAGUAUUAUCAGUGGUUCCAUAUGUCUUUAAUGAAUGUGCUUUCCUGAUAAUUUUACCAUUCAUUGAGAUUACUACCUUGGCAAUUUUUUCUCUUAAUUUGACCAUAAUUAGAGAAAUUGAAUUUUAAAUCAAAUUUCAUCAACUAGGAGCUCUUAAUGUAAAAUAAUAAAAUAAAAAAUUGACUAUUAGAUUAUUUUAAUUAUUGUAGGAAUGCUUCAACUUUGGCUUGAUAGAUUGAAUGUUUGUCCAAGGCCCAGACCACUUGAAAUAAUAUACUGGGAUGAAUCUAAUUCUUGUUUAAGGCACUAUCCAGUUAAAAUAAUCUAAGAAGUAUUACUGAUGAGGUAAAAGAUAGGACAUUUUAAUGUGGUUGAAUUUAACAACUCAGUGGAAUUUAUAGGAGAAUGUGAAGUCUGAUAUAGGCUAAAGGGUAGAAAUAGAAACAGAAAGGAAUAUCAUCUAAAUGAGUAUUUUUUUCUUCUUUGGGAAUAGUUCCCCAAAUUGAAACUCUAAAAUUUCUUUUAGCAUAUUUUAUGCACAGUUGGACUGGAGAGAAUCUUUCUGUUGUCAAAAGGCUUGGGUACAUGCUUGAGCUCAAUAUUAUGAAGCACAUAGAAAGUUUACUUCUUUAUAGACAUAUUUAACCACUGUGGCAAAAAGAAAAAAAUAGGUAAGUAGGGAGAAAGGGCAACCCAGGGUGUUGAAAUGUGGAGAAUAUAUUAGAAAACUGGUAUUACAUUUAAAAGGAGCCUUUUAUUUAAAAUCUUUCAAGUUCAAAAUGCAGAGAAGGCACUUU